AUUGACGGAGCGAAGCGACGUCAAAGCGUUCAUUAAAGUCGAGUUGGCUUAGGGAUACGUUCGUUGGGUAGGGGAGCGUUCUGUAAGCCUGUGAAGGUGGCCUGUGAGGGUUGCUGGAGGUAUCAGAAGUGCGAAUGCUGACAUAAGUAACGAUAAAGCGGGUGAAAAGCCCGCUCGCCGGAAGACCAAGGGUUCCUGUCCAACGUUAAUCGGGGCAGGGUGAGUCGACCCCUAAGGCGAGGCCGAAAGGCGUAGUCGAUGGGAAACGGGUUAAUAUUCCCGUACUUGGUGUUACUGCGAAGGGGGGACGGAGAAGGCUAUGUUGGCCGGGCGACGGUUGUCCCGGUUUAAGCGUGUAGGUGUGUGUUCCAGGUAAAUCCGGUUCACUUUAACACUGAGGCGUGAUGACGAGGCACUACGGUGCUGAAGCAACAAAUGCCCUGCUUCCAGGAAAAGCCUCUAAGCAUCAGGUAACAUCAAAUCGUACCCCAAACCGACACAGGUGGUCAGGUAGAGAAUACCAAGGCGCUUGAGAGAACUCGGGUGAAGGAACUAGGCAAAAUGGUGCCGUAACUUCGGGAGAAGGCACGCUGACACGUAGGUGAAGUGAUUUACUCAUGGAGCUGAAGUCAGUCGAAGAUACCAGCUGGCUGCAACUGUUUAUUAAAAACACAGCACUGUGCAAACACGAAAGUGGACGUAUACGGUGUGACGCCUGCCCGGUGCCGGAAGGUUAAUUGAUGGGGUCAGCGCAAGCGAAGCUCCUGAUCGAAGCCCCGGUAAACGGCGGCCGUAACUAUAACGGUCCUAAGGUAGCGAAAUUCCUUGUCGGGUAAGUUCCGACCUGCACGAAUGGCGUAAUGAUGGCCAGGCUGUCUCCACCCGAGACUCAGUGAAAUUGAACUCGCUGUGAAGAUGCAGUGUACCCGCGGCAAGACGGAAAGACCCCGUGAACCUUUACUAUAGCUUGACACUGAACAUUGAGCCUUGAUGUGUAGGAUAGGUGGGAGGCUUUGAAGUGUGGACGCCAGUCUGCAUGGAGCCGACCUUGAAAUACCACCCUUUAAUGUUUGAUGUUCUAACGUGGACCCGUGAUCCGGGUUGCGGACAGUGUCUGGUGGGUAGUUUGACUGGGGCGGUCUCCUCCUAAAGAGUAACGGAGGAGCACGAAGGUUGGCUAAUCCUGGUCGGACAUCAGGAGGUUAGUGCAAUGGCAUAAGCCAGCUUGACUGCGAGCGUGACGGCGCGAGCAGGUGCGAAAGCAGGUCAUAGUGAUCCGGUGGUUCUGAAUGGAAGGGCCAUCGCUCAACGGAUAAAAGGUACUCCGGGGAUAACAGGCUGAUACCGCCCAAGAGUUCAUAUCGACGGCGGUGUUUGGCACCUCGAUGUCGGCUCAUCACAUCCUGGGGCUGAAGUAGGUCCCAAGGGUAUGGCUGUUCGCCAUUUAAAGUGGUACGCGAGCUGGGUUUAGAACGUCGUGAGACAGUUCGGUCCCUAUCUGCCGUGGGCGCUGGAGAACUGAGGGGGGCUGCUCCUAGUACGAGAGGACCGGAGUGGACGCAUCACUGGUGUUCGGGUUGUCAUGCCAAUGGCACUGCCCGGUAGCUAAAUGCGGAAGAGAUAAGUGCUGAAAGCAUCUAAGCACGAAACUUGCCCCGA
rnacentral:rRNA from 1 species